CCCGAGGAUCGUUGUUGGGUUCUUCUGCCAGCGUCUGACACUACUGCUUCGUCGCCGUUUCAUGGAAAGGCCACAGGAACUUCUUUUGCACGUUGGGACCCUGUUCGAACAGCAGACCACGUCAGUGUUCUUCCUUCUUCUUCUUCGUCAGGUUUACGUUACUACUGCUGCAUUAUUUUCAUCGUACCGAAAUCGUCCAUUGACUCUCCCAUUGAACAAGAACUUACUUGAUGUCCGUGUCGACGGUGUCUCUUGGACGGCGUUAACUCAUACUGGAGCACAGGUGUCCAUAAUGAGUGCUAACGUCCGUCGUCGAGUAAAGAAGGCUCUCACGCCUGCUACUACACGAGAUGUACGCAUCGCCGAUUGCAGUGCUGUCGCCGUCACUGGAAC